rnacentral:lncRNA from 1 species
AUGGAGCUCUGGCCCUUAGGAUGGGAAAAACAGCCUUCAGAAAUUGGAGUUCAAGAGACACCAGAUGAUUAGGAUGGAGAACCUAUCGUACCUGUGGGACAGGACAGAAGAGCAUGAGGAAGACUCAUAGGAGAGGAGUAAUGGCCUUAAGUUGCAUCAGGAAAGAUUCAGGUUGGAUAUUUGGAAAAAUGUCUUCUCAGAAAGAGUGGUGAGGCACUGGCACAGGCUGCCCAGGGAGAUGGUGGAGUCACUGUCACUGGAGGUGCUCAAGAAAUGUGUGGAUGUGGCACUGAGGGACAUGGUUUAGUGGGCACAGUGGGGUGGGUCAAAGAUUCGAUUAGAUGAACUUAUUCGUCUUUUCCAGCCUUAAUGAUUCUAUGAUUCUAUAACUCUGCAGCAAUACCUGCAAUGGUCCCAGGCUUCCUUGGUGAUCAUCCUCCAAAAUCCUCCAAAAUCUGAGGCUGCCAGUCUGCCCUCACACUGCAUGCCCAUUGCAAGCCUCAUGCCAAAAUGCAAAGGGUGUUCUUUCGUUAAUCUGCUAAGAAAUAAAGACAGUCACUGCCCUGAAGGCUUACAGUCUGAAAGACGGAUA